rnacentral:rRNA from 1 species
AAAUUGAAGAGUUUGAUCAUGGCUCAGAUUGAACGCUGGCGGCAGGCCUAACACAUGCAAGUCGAACGGUAACAGGAAGAAGCUUGCUUCUUUGCUGACGAGUGGCGGACGGGUGAGUAAUGUCUGGGAAACUGCCUGAUGGAGGGGGAUAACUACUGGAAACGGUAGCUAAUACCGCAUAACGUCGCAAGACCAAAGAGGGGGACCUUCGGGCCUCUUGCCAUCGGAUGUGCCCAGAUGGGAUUAGCUAGUAGGUGGGGUAACGGCUCACCUAGGCGACGAUCCCUAGCUGGUCUGAGAGGAUGACCAGCCACACUGGAACUGAGACACGGUCCAGACUCCUACGGGAGGCAGCAGUGGGGAAUAUUGCACAAUGGGCGCAAGCCUGAUGCAGCCAUGCCGCGUGUAUGAAGAAGGCCUUCGGGUUGUAAAGUACUUUCAGCGGGGAGGAAGGGAGUAAAGUUAAUACCUUUGCUCAUUGACGUUACCCGCAGAAGAAGCACCGGCUAACUCCGUGCCAGCAGCCGCGGUAAUACGGAGGGUGCAAGCGUUAAUCGGAAUUACUGGGCGUAAAGCGCACGCAGGCGGUUUGUUAAGUCAGAUGUGAAAUCCCCGGGCUCAACCACGGGAACUGCAUCUGAUACUGGCAAGCUUGAGUCUCGUAGAGGGGGGUAGAAUUCCGGGUGUAGCGGUGAAAUGCGUAGAGAUCUGGAGGAAUACCGGUGGCGAAGGCGGCCCCCCUGGACGAAGACUGACGCUCAGGUGCGAAAGCGUGGGGAGCAAACAGGAUUAGAUACCCCGGUAGUCCACGCCGUAAACGAUGUCGACUUGGAGGUUGUGCCCUUGAGGCGUGGCUUCCGGAGCUAACGCGUUAAGUCGACCGCACUGGGGAGUACGGCCGCAAGGUUAAAACUCAAAUGAAUUGACGGGGGCCCGCACAAGCGGUGGAGCAUGUGGUUUAAUUCGAUGCAACGCGAAGAACCUUACCUGGUCUUGACAUCCACGGAAGUUUUCAGAGAUGAGAAUGUGCCUUCGGGAACCGUGAGACAGGUGCUGCAUGGCUGUCGUCAGCUCGUGUUGUGAAAUGUUGGGUUAAGUCCCGCAACGAGCGCAACCCUUAUCCUUUGUUGCCAGCGGUCCGGCCGGGAACUCAAAGGAGACUGCCAGUGAUAAACUGGAGGAAGGUGGGGAUGACGUCAAGUCAUCAUGGCCCUUACGACCAGGGCUACACACGUGCUACAAUGGCGCAUACAAAGAGAAGCGAACUCGCGAGAGCAAGCGGACCUCAUAAAGUGCGUCGUAGUCCGGAUUGGAGUCUGCAACUCGACUCCAUGAAGUCGGAAUCGCUAGUAAUCGUGGAUCAGAAUGCCACGGUGAAUACGUUCCCGGGCCUUGUACACACCGCCCGUCACACCAUGGGAGUGGGUUGCAAAAGAAGUAGGUAGCUUAACCUUCGGGAGGGCGCUUACCACUUUGUGAUUCAUGACUGGGGUGAAGUCGUAACAAGGUAACCGUAGGGGAACCUGCGGUUGGAUCACCUCCUUACCUUAAAGAA